rnacentral:miRNA from 14 species
UGUGUGCGUGCGUGCGUGCGUGCGUGUGUGUCAGAGUGAUGAGAAUGGAUGGGGAUGAACAGGGAUUUGGGGGGGCAGAUUGCACUUUGGCAAGGAAAUGCUGUCCUGUGCCAGAGAGGGGUCUGCUCAUCUCAUUGCCCACACACGCACGCACGCAUGCACGCACGCACACACG